rnacentral:misc_RNA from 1 species
AAGUCGUAACAAGGUUUCCGUAGGUGAACCUGCGGAAGGAUCAUUACCAAAUUUUUUAAACAAAAAAAUUUAUCCAAACCCAACUUUGUGAACCCCAAAAACAUAAAAACUUUGAAUGUUGGUAAUUUGUUUUACCUCAUUCUUAACCAAAUAAUUUUUUUUUACACGCUUUUUAAAUUUAAUUUUUUAAUAAAAACUUAAUUGUAUUAAUUUACGAUUAAAAAUAUUUAAAACAAAUUACAACUUUCAGCAACGGAUCUCUAGGCUCUU